CUUGAUUUCAUCAUCCAAUUAUGGAUAUCUUCAGUUCUUUGCAGCUAUCUCUGGAGCUCGGAAUUUGGAGUAACUAUGGAACUAAGACACGAUUUCGAAAUUCAGAAUCGCGAGGCAAAUUUUGUGUUCUCCGCGCUAAUUUAUCAUCAUUUUCGGCUAAUAAAUUUCCAAGUUCAUCACAGAAGUCGGGAUAUGAACUUUAUAAGUGAGAGAAUAAUUAUUUGUUACAGUUUCAGGAACAGUGUGGUUGGAGUAGAGAUCUUUCGAAGAGGAUACAGAGACGAGCAUGCAUCAUCUCAUCUAGGAAUCAUAGACUUAAAUGCCACUGUUUUGUGAAUAGAGUGCCCUCUUUCGAUGCUGCGAAUAUAAAGAGUGCCACUUCAACUCUACCAAGAUCCUUGAAUGGAAAUCCCCAUGUGAUCAAAUUGGCUUCAGCUGUAGGUUUUGUUAUUUUUGCAAUAUGGGGACUCAGGCCGCUUGUCAGACAAUGCAGAAACAAAUUUUUUGGGGUUCGUGGUUGGUAAUGCAGUUUCUCCUUGUCAAAACUCACUGUUGUAUGCUUCUAUGGAACAAUUAUAUGGAAAGAGGCUACAUGAAGUUGAGUUGACUCUUUUUAUUGCCUAUAUUAAACCACCUUCCAUCAUACUGAAUGCAGAAAAGUGAUAGCAGCUGGUGAAGAAGCAGCACAUUUCAUGUCACAGCCUCUUACAUUCAACCUUUACUGCUAUGGGCAGGAGCAAUCUACAUCUGCAGAGCAUUGGAUCCAAUGAUUCUUCCUUCCGAAGCUGGCCAGAUUGUUAAAAAGCGGGUCCUAAAUUUUGUCAGAUCAUUAUCAACAGUGCUGGCCGUUGCAUAUUUAUUUUCAAGUGUAUUUCAACAAGCACAAAAAUUCUUCAUGGAGACAAAUGAACUCACGGAUGCUAAUGGGCUUCCAGUUUGUUGGCAGGACUGUAUACACAGCUGUAUGGGUAGCUGCAGUGUCAUUGUUUAUGGAGUUGCUAGGUUUCUCAACCCAAAAAUGGAUUACGGCUGGAGGGUUUGGGACAGUUUUGAUCACUCUCGCUGGACGUGAGAUUUUCACAAAUUUCCUAUCAAGUGUGAUGAUUCAUACAACCAGGCCAUUUGUUGAUGAAUCCGCGAAUUUCUGAUCUUAGUAAAUGCUAGUAGAGAAUGAAGAUUAUGACACAAAGAAUUUACGUGGUUCGAUUUACUGAAGUAAAUCUACGUCCACGGGAAGAAGGGAGGGCAAGAU